rnacentral:rRNA from 1 species
GAUGAACGCUGGCGGCGUGCUUAAUACAUGCAAGUCGAGCGAACAGACGAGGCGUUUGCUCCUCUGUCGUUUGCCGCGCACGGGUGUGUAACAUGUGGAUAAUCUCCUUAUAUGUCUGGGAUAAUUUCGGGAAUCCGGCGCUUAUACCGGAUAAUAUAUUGAUCCGUAUGGUUCAAUAGUGAAAGUCGGCUUUGCUGUCUCUUAUAGCUGGUUCCGCGCCGCUUUAGCUAGUUGGUAAGGUAACGGCUUAUCACGGCUACGAUGCGUAGCCGAACUGAGAGAGUGGUCGGCCACACGAGAACUGGGACGCGGACCAGACUCCUACGAGAGGCAGCAGUAGGGAAUCUUCCGCAAUAGGCGAAAGCUUGGCGGAGCAGCGCCGCGUGAGAGGUGAAGGUCUUCGGAUCGUAAAACUCUGUUAUUGGGGAAAAACAAAUGUGUAAGUAGCUAUGCACGUCUUGACGGUACCGAAUCAGAAAGCCACGGCUAACUACGUG